UUCUUCCCUUCUUGGCCUGAAGAAGUCUUUUCUCUACUUACCGAGCUAGCUAUUAAUUGCUGCUCUACUAGAACAUAGACGCACGAACAUAGCCUUCUUUUCUUCCUCCCCUCUCCCCCUGUUCCCUGCCUCAGGUCGCCCUCCAAGUAGAGGUACUACCGAGCAAGGCUUGAUGAUGCAUGCUACUGGAUCCGAAUCCCCUCUUCUAUCCUGAUGCUAUUCCCCUAAUUUUCUCUGUCGAUUAAAGCCCUAAUGCUCUGACUUUGGGGCUGGUCUGCUAGCUCUCCUUCACCUCCGGCUCAGGUCGCUGGCCGUAGUCGCAGCUACGCUGCUGGAUGGCCGAUGCUGGAACUAGAGUACACGGCCGUGCGCUGCUCCGGCAUCGACUGCAGCCUUAGUUACAGCUGAGAAUGGUGCUAAGAAGCAUAGGGUGGCACAAAAAUUAUGCACGCACCUUGCUGGCUAGGAGCUGCAUGCCGCUGGAGAUUUACUCGAUGGUGGUCAAUUGCAGCUUGCAGGGGCUCCCCUUGUUAGCUUCACCCCCUUGGAUCUUGGUCAGUUCGCCAGAUACCUCAUGGUCUCUCUCCUCCUCUGGCGUGAUCUUGCUUGGAGGUCACCAUCUUCUGAAUGUUUCUAGGUUUCUGCUAUUUGGGAAGGUGGUGACUGUGGAA